UGGGGAAUAUUGGACAAUGGGGGCAACCCUGAUCCAGCAAUGCCGCGUGUGUGAAGAAGGUCUUCGGAUUGUAAAGCACUUUCGACGGGGACGAUGAUGACGGUACCCGUAGAAGAAGCCCCGGCUAACUUCGUGCCAGCAGCCGCGGUAAUACGAAGGGGGCUAGCGUUGCUCGGAAUGACUGGGCGUAAAGGGCGUGUAGGCGGUUUACACAGUCAGAUGUGAAAUCCCCGGGCUUAACCUGGGAGCUGCAUUUGAUACGUGUAGACUAGAGUGUGAGAGAGGGUUGUGGAAUUCCCAGUGUAGAGGUGAAAUUCGUAGAUAUUGGGAAGAACACCGGUGGCGAAGGCGGCAACCUGGCUCAUGACUGACGCUGAGGCGCGAAAGCGUGGGGAGCAAACAGGAUUAGAUACCCUGGUAGUCCACGCUGUAAACGAUGUGUGCUAGAUGUUGGGUAACUUUGUUAUUCAGUGUCGCAGUUAACGCGUUAAGC
rnacentral:rRNA from 1 species